UACGAAGGGGGCUAGCGUUGUUCGGAAUUACUGGGCGUAAAGCGUGCGCAGGCGGCUUCCCAAGUCAGUGGUGAAAGCCCGGAGCUCAACUCCGGAAAUGCCAUUGAAACUGUGAAGCUUGAGAACGAGAGGGGUGAGUGGAAUUCCCAGUGUAGAGGUGAAAUUCGUAGAUAUUGGGAAGAACACCAGUGGCGAAGGCGGCUCACUGGCUCGUAACUGACGCUCAUGCACGACAGCGUGGGGAUCAAACAGG
rnacentral:rRNA from 1 species